rnacentral:ncRNA from 1 species
UGAAAUACUAUGAAUGGGAAGAGUAUAAUUCGUGUUCCUUUUAGAGAGGGAGAUCAUUAGCUGAAAGAUUUCCUAAGUGAAGCGGUUAGAAGGUCGCCCAUGAGUAGCUUCUAUGAACAUUUUGAGUAGUAGGAGCCGGUCUAGAACCGUUAUCAGCAUUUGAGAGCCGAGCAAUGCUUUUUUAAGCUCGUGAAAAAAGGUGGUACCGCGAAAUUCACUCCCUUCGUCCUUUUG